AUGAACGCUGGCGGCGUGCCUAAUACAUGCAAGUCGAGCGAACGGACGAGAAGCUUGCUUCUCUGAUGUUAGCGGCGGACGGGUGAGUAACACGUGGAUAACCUACCUAUAAGACUGGGAUAACUUCGGGAAACCGUAGCUAAUACCGGAUAAUAUUUUGAACCGCAUGGUUCAAAAGUGAAAGACGGUCUUGCUGUCACUUAUAGAUGGAUCCGCGCUGCAUUAGCUAGUUGGUAGGUAACGGCUUACCAAGGCAACGAUGCAUAGCCGACCUGAGAGGGUGAUCGGCCACACUGGAACUGAGACACGGUCCAGACUCCUACGGGAGGCAGCAGUAGGGAAUCUUCCGCAAUGGGCGAAAGCCUGACGGAGCAACGCCGCGUGAGUGAUGAAGGUCUUCGGAUCGUAAAACUCUGUUAUUAGGGAAGAACAUAUGUGUAAGUAACUGUGCACAUCUUGACGGUACCUAAUCAGAAAGCCACGGCUAACUACGUG
rnacentral:rRNA from 1 species